UUAUUCCACUUGAGAACUAGGGAGCACUGGCCUGAUUUCGUAUGUGGACUUGUUCUGCUCUUCUUUUCCUUUGAGUGUAUUUUUGUUUCUCUUUAACUUUUAAAGUACCGCUGAGCUAGCAAGCUAGUUAUGUUAUCUCAGGCGUGGUACUAUAUUGUUGUACCUGCCUUCAUAGUCUAGUGCUGAGUAACUGCCCGAUAUUUUUCUCAGCAAUGAAUCUGAAGGACAAUUAAGUUUUUUGAUUAGGUUGGGAAAACAUCAUCCCCAGCUGCCUUUUCAUCUGAGUCUGGUGCCAAGCCCAGGACUGUAAUAGCUGCCGACGAUGCAGCUGAGCUAGUCACAUUACCUGGAAGACGUCCAAUAGCUACAUGAAUUACAGACUGUCAGGAUUAACACAGGACAUUGAUAAAUGUGCAUGACAAGGACAAUUUGUAGGGUACUUCUGUCCGAGGUCCUGUGUCAAAGCUGGAGAAAGGACUACAUUUCAUAAAGAUUCAAAUCUUGACACCUUUUUCCUGGUGAGGGUGAAUCUGGAGCCUGUCGCAGGAAGGUGGGAGGUGGAACGAAACUAGACAGCAAAGAGGAAAUCCACAUGGACAAGGGGAGAGUAUGCAAAACUCUCCACAGGCAGUAACCCUAGCUGUGGGGACCC